AAUUUAUCUUUAAGUGAAGAAGCUUAAAUAAUUAUGCAGGACAAGAAGACCCUAUAGAGCUUUACCUAAACAUUACAUUAUAAGUAAUUAAGGGUUCGGUUGGGGCGACCUGGGGACAUAAAUCACCCCUUAAAAUUUAGACAAACACGUCAUUAAAAAGAUCCUAAACUAAGAUCAACGAAUCAAGCUACCUUAGGGAUAACAGGCUAAUCCUCUUAGAGAGCCCUUAUCGACAAGAGGGGUUGGCACCUCGAUGUUGGCUUAGGACUUCUUUACGCCGCAGCAGGCGUAACCAGAUGGUUUGUUCAACCAUUAAA
rnacentral:rRNA from 1 species